GUAAAUCGUUGCCAUGUUUUUCACACUGUGUGUGCGGAUCCCCGAGGCAGAGGAGCUCGAUCGCGGCAAUAACGGGAGAAACGGGCCACGGUUCCCGGUAUAACGAUGAUGCCUUGUCCAUCAGAGUUUCCGCCGACUGAAGCCCGCUCUCUUCACCAAACUCCUCCUCCUCCUCUUUUUUUCCUCAUGCAUUUUCCCUUUUCGGUCCAUGAAUGAAUGUUGCCCUGUAGUUCUUCGUUUGAAUUGCCCAAGCACUGGAUUGUGUUGCUUUUAUACGUUUUUAUUUUAAUAUUAUUAUUAUUAAUUUUGUAUCUCGGACUCUCAGAGUAAGAGCCUUAUGAAGGACGUGUAUCCUUGAGAAAAACCACCGUCCUGCAGCAGUGGGAUCAAUGUAUUAUCUGCCAUUCUCAUGGAUUCUCUGGCACACAGCAGAGAAGCGGUCGACGCGGUGAACUUUAAAAGGAUGAAAAAAAAAACAAGAACUUAAAUUAUGAACUCAAAGCUCGCACGUGCUCCACUAGAAGAUGAAAUACUGUCUCCCUCCAGCUUUGUCAGAAAUACAUUCAAUACUUGUAUGAGGACUGUGGCGUGAUGUUUCAAAGGUGUUCAGUCACAAAUGCUGUAAUAAAUAUUUCAUUUUUGA